rnacentral:lncRNA from 1 species
GCCGCCUCGGCCGCACCGCGUCGCCGACGACCAGGCGCAGCCUCAAGGCGGAGGCCAAGGGCGAGUGGCUCCCCGGCCUUCCCUCCCCCGCCUACCUCGACGGCAGGUCAGUGUUUCUUUUUCUCUAAUAAUAACUCUGGCCAUGGCCGCCGCAGCGACGGCCGGCAGCCUGACUGACUGGCCUGACUGACAUGGCCACCGCGCGCGCGCAGCCUGCCGGGUGACAAUGGCUUCGACCCGUUGGGCCUGGCGGAGGACCCCGAGAACCUGCGGUGGUUCGUGCAGGCGGAGCUGGUGAACGGGCGGUGGGCGAUGCUCGGCGUGGCCGGGAUGCUGAUCCCGGAGGUGCUGACCAAGGCCGGGCUCAUCAACGCGCCGCAGUGGUACGACGCCGGCAAGUCGGAGUACUUCGCGUCGUCGUCGACGCUGUUCGUGAUCGAGUUCAUCCUGUUCCACUACGUGGAGAUCCGGCGGUGGCAGGACAUCAAGAACCCCGGCAGCGUCAACCAGGACCCCAUCUUCAAGAGCUACAGCCUGCCGCCGCACGAGUGCGGCUACCCCGGCAGCGUCUUCAACCCGCUCAACUUCGCGCCCACGCUCGAGGCCAAGGAGAAGGAGCUCGCCAACGGUGAGCACCACUACCAUCGAUACCUCCGCACGGUCGCCGGCCACUUCCGAUGAUCCUUCCCUCUGACGACGACUAAUCAUAUGCAUCCGGUUAUUAAUUGUUAAUUCUGCGUGCAGGGAGGCUGGCGAUGCUGGCGUUCCUGGGCUUCCUGAUCCAGCACAACGUCACCGGCAAGGGGCCCUUCGACAACCUGCUGCAGCACCUGUCUGACCCAUGGCACAACACCAUCAUCCAGACCCUCUCUUAGUCGAUGAUAUAUAUCCAGGUCAUGUAAAAUGUGAUCCAUCGCUAGCGAGCUGAUGGGGACUGGAAGGCAAACAUUGAAGCGCGGUCGUCGAUGUUAAUUCCUUUCUGGAUCAGUUUGUGUGAUGUGUGUUGUUAAUCGAUCUGGAGGGUAUAGAUUCGGACCGGGUUUGUUGUAACUUGUAAUGCAUGGUAUGAAGAGAGAGAGGGCUGAGGAGUGACACUGCUGGUAUGUACAUUAAUCCAAGGGGAGGGCUAAGGGUAAGAUUGUUUGAUCAGUAUCCUCAUCGAUCUAUCCCGAUGGGGUUCCUCUUGUGCUUACUUCUUGCUUGCCACUUGCCAGUCCAUGGUUCAGUGUGGAAACACAUGCAUGUAUUUGUACGAGAACUAGUAGGCUUGUAUAAUUAAGCAAAUGGUAAACAUCGAUGCCCAUCGCGAUUAAUGUUCGUGAAAAAACAAAAAAAACUAAAAACUUGCGGUUAAUGUUUGCGAAAAAAACAAAAAAAACUAAAAACUUGCAACUCUAAAAAGUUGGACCUAGGACCUCUCACUUAACAGUAUCAUCCCUCUACCACUACACCACACAAUUAUUUGUGUAUAUAUAUAAUACACUAUUUUUUUUAUAUUAAUGUUUCGUAACCUUACAUUGGAUAUUUUGGCUACUAAAUAAACUCAAAUGAAAAAAAUUUUAACUAUAAAGUUUUAAAUCUUGUCGAGUACUACAACUUUGGUAUAUGAUGUAUCACCAUCAGAGAUAGUUUAAAAAAAAAUCAAAAAAUUGAGCCUUAAAACAUGUGAAUUUCAAACACAUAUUUGAGACUCUAGGUGAUUUUUAAAUAAAAAAUUUGUCAAUAUCAAACAUAUAGAUCAUGUGGACCACUAGAGCUUUGGUAUUAACUAUGUAAAUAUUGAAGAUCAUUUAGGAAUUCAAAAACUUAAAUUUUAAAAUCUAUAACGACCUUCGAACACAUGUUUGAGACUCUAAACAUAUUUUAAUUUAAAACUUUUCAACUACAAAGUUGUAGAUUCUAUCAAGAACUAUAACUUUUGUAAAGACCAUAUCAACAUCUUAGAUUGUUUGAUAAUUUUAAAUUUCAAAAUCUACACAUUUAAAAUAAUAUUUUUUGGACCCUAAAUAGUUUCAACUCAAACUAUUUUACGAGGCUAGGAUCCAUCGGCUCGUGAGAUGUUGCUCCGACCUCCGAGUAGCAACGACUGAAGAGCCGUCGCCGCCGCCCCUGCUUGCCGCUGCGCGCCCCCGCCCCCGUCCGGUCUCGCCCCCCCACGCCGAUCUGCUACUCCCAAGCCGGUGGCCGGAGUUCGCGCGGCCCUCGGCCUCACCCGGAUUCGGCGUCCGAGCCCUUCUUUACAUUCACCGCUUCGUGCCUCGUUCGCUGCCGCGACUCCUCGACUUCAACGCCCUCGCGAGUCGCGAAGCCGCGACGGCGCUGCAGGCGCCCGGUGAAUCUCCGACUUGACUCCGACGAGACCACGACGGCGACCUUCCCUUGUCUCCCCACUGGCUGCGGCCCCUCGCCCCCUCCUGCGGUGACUGUUGGCCGCCUGGCUGCCCAACCAGGUGAGAAGCGAGAUCCAAAUCUCCAUUCUUAUUUCUCCAUAGUCUAUACUCUCAGCAACAUUUGACAAUUCUUAACUCUUAAUUCAUAUCCAAUGUGUCUUAGGAUGGAAAGAUAUUAUGGUAAGAAAUAUGUUAUAUCCACUAGUUGAAUGCCCGUACGUUGCUACGGAAACAAAAAAAAAAUAUUUAGAAACAAAAUCAUGCCCAUGCCCACUCAUCUUAGUUUCAGCUUGGACAUAUGCACUUCCCUAUUGUCAAAUAGCUUGGAAAGUAAACUUUUGCUUACAUUCAACUGCCCUGAAUUAAUUUGCUUAGGAAAUCCGAAGUUUAGGUGCCACUAUUGCCUUUUCCAAUGUUUGUUUACCCAACAACAUUUGCAGGUAAGCAAAAUAUAGAAAUAUAAGUGUUUUGUGGCUUCACAUGUUUCACAUUACACAACCAAGACACCAGUGGAAAUAAACUUCACGGGUGCAGGGGGCUUUAAAAAAAUGUUAUCUGAACACACAUUGAAAUUAUAGAAAUGUAUUGCACAUAUGACACAGAUAUUGCGAAUGGCAAAGGCAAAUGCUUCCAUAUGCUUGUACCAUGGUCUCCCGGUGAGUCCUCGGUUGGUGAAUGUUAGUUCGGCUAUCAUCAACCUGUUGUUGAUCUCCCUUCCUUUCACUGUGUACUACCUUGUCUUUAGGCUCCAGUUUUUGCUUGCAGCAACUACAUACGAGAAAUGAGGUGUUGAAGUUUUAAUUUCAAAGUUACACAUCUGCACAUUGCACUUAUGCAGAACAGCAAGCACUGAGUAACAAUAAUAAAUUAAGACUAAAAUCAGAAAGAAAAAUGAAGCUUUAAUAUACAUGAUUUUGCAUCCAAUAUAAUUAGAUUUCUAUAGCAGGAGCAGGGAGAAGAGAGAUUCUUCACAUGUAAGGAUUCAUCCUCUACUCUGACACUUCACAUUUAUCAUGGUCAUGUAUGCUUGACAGCCACAAAUACAUAUAGGAUAAUACUAUGAUAGUACUAUUCUUCAGCAGAUGUUGAGAUAAAAUCACAAAGAGCAUCUAAACAGGCCUUGAAAUGUUUUCCUCAGUUGGACAGCACUCUAGAGGUUGAAAGCAUUAGACUUAGUGCGGAAUGACAUAGUAUUGAGUCAUCUACUCUUUGUGCUCUACCUGUUUAUUAUCUCGAAUUAAUCUUAAAACUAUUGCCUCAGGAAUCAUUUAAAAAAACAAAAAAGGGAAAUUAUCUUCGAUGAGAAAUUUCAGCACAUUGUCUGAACAUUUUGCAUCAAUGCAGGCCAUCACUAAAAUCCAUAAUCUAUUUAGUCAUUGCGGAUGGAAUUUUUGUAGCAUUUUUCAGUACUAUAUUAGGGAAAGCUUAACAUUGACAAUGUCAUGUUUGCAAUUUUUAGCUUAAUAUGGUUCUAGAUAAAAUAUCAGCCCCAAAUAAAACCAGGCAAUAUGCACCUGUGCACACAAUUGUCCUGAGCCCAUCGACCCACCAAAUAUUACCUCCUUUGAUAAUAGAUAACGGAGGAGGGGUACCUGUUCUGUGGCAAUGGCUAUCACGAGAUUCUCGAUUUGCUCCUGCUCAGCCUUGUGUGUCAAAAUCAUGUGUGCAACUGUACUGUACUUUAGCUACCCCAGCAUGAACAUGUGUGCCAAGGUAUGUUCAGAAAAUCUCUACUAAAAGGCAUGAUCAUGUGUGUCAACAUCAUCUCAAGGAAAUAGAAUAUUUCUAUAGUCCAUCAGACAUAUUAUCAUCCUUCUGUUCAACAACGCCAGCAUGAACAAGAGCAGUGGAGCUGUUUUUGCAAGACAGGUUAUCAGAAAAUCCUUAUCUUAGAUCCAAGAAGAACCUUUUUACCACCCAGGAGUGUGGAGUUCUCAUCAGUCAGAAAAUUCACAAGUCCAAGCCCAACCUUAUCGCCAAGUAAAAUUUCUGGUUCUGGCCGGCAUCAACAGAGGAUGCUCUGGGUGAUUUGGUGCCAAGGCCAGUGAAAAACUUGAGGUCUAGGGGUGAUGUACUGAUGUUGAAUAGCAAACAUGCAAGGAGACAAGGACGCUAUAUACAAUAGACAUACCACGUUAAAUUUUAGCCACAGCAAUAAGCUACUCUCCAGAGGAAUAUAUGCACAAGCCAAGAGAGCAAAUCAAAACACUGGACAUGGGGGAAUAAUUCUUGGACCUGCAUCUACUAACAGAAAAUAAUAGAUCUGAAUUUCUUACCUCUGAAUGAAACUAUAGUGAAACUAUAGUAGGGCUGCAUAUUUUUCUCAGACAUUACUGCUGCAUAUUUACAUGUGGAUGACCAUUUUCUUUGUGUUGCUGCAGUAUCAGGUAAGACAUAAGGUAGCUAAUAUGCAAUUAUGCACUUAUGCUAGUAAACUGGGGGUGUCUUGGCAGGAUUAUGCAGUUAUGCACUUAUGCUCUUCUGCAAUCCAACAACAUCAAUAAAAAUAGAGAUUUUUCUUAGGAAUUAGCAGUAGGCUUAUCCUAAAUUAGCAGGAGACUUAAGAAUAUUUAUGUUAGUGUGCGCAUGGACAGGCGGGUUUCGGUGAGCCAGCUGCAACCUCGCCUCUCGCCGGCGGCCGUGGAGGGCAUGCGCCGACCGUGGAGGACCUCGCCUCUCACCUCUCGCCGGUGACCCAGCUGCGACCUCGCCUCUCGUCGCCUCUCCUUGGUGGCGUUAGGCGCGUCUCCUCCUCGGCAGCUAGGUGGGAGGGGAGCGAGGGGAGUGCGUCCAGGCGGAGGUAUGCGCAGCUCCUCGACAGCUAGGUGGGAGGGGAGCGAGGGGAGUGCAUCCAGGCGGCACCGACGUUGCCGUUCGGCCGUAGGUAAGCGCACGACGGCGAAGUGGGCGGGGCCGUUGCUCGUCGUCCGGUAUUUUCCUGGCGCACGGCGCCCGUUGCACGGCGGCAAGGAGGGAGUGGCGUGAGUUUGAAGGCGAUAGGGAGGCUCGCUGGAUUGAGAGCGAGGGGAUUGAGAUCGGGGAUUGUGGGAGGGGAGGGAGUGCGGCGUUGUUGGGGCUUGCGGGAGCGAGGGAGUGCGGGAGAGAUGGAUGGGAUACUGAGGGGUGGGGAGGUGUCUAGAAGAGAGAGUGGGGCCCACAUGUCGGCGCAAAUUCACUCGGCUGAGUGAAGCAUCACGCGGCGGCUUCACCAUGGAGCCAUAGACGGGUCCGUUUCACGUUUUUUAGGUGUAGAGAUUAGUGUACUGUGUACAGUGAGCAAAAUUUUUUUGCCCUCUGUUAUUUAGCCCUCCCCUUGGUCCAUUUCUCGAUCCGCCACUGGAUGUUGGUACAGAUGGGUUGAACCCGCUUCCAUGGGCUGGAUCGGGGCGGGUUAUUUGCUUCAAAAUUUGGGUGGGGUUGGGUUAGGGGAACAACUUGAUAGCCUGAUGAUCGGGGUGGGUUAAGGGUGGAUUUAGCCCCAUUAGGCCUUAUUUGGAUGUAGUCGGAUUCGCAUCAAUCCACAUGUAUUGGGGUGGAUUGGAGUGGAACUUGAACUAAAUUCCACCCCAAUCCACUCCAACACAUGUGGAUUGAGGUGAAUCCAAUAACAUCCAAACAAGACCUUAACAGGGCGAGAUCCUGGUCUGGAUCCGAUGUUGGUCUGGCACCAAUACGGUGCUCCCGAACGAGGCCUUAAUUGGGCCGAAAGCAAGCCCCCCACCCCGAGGCCCUAUUGAGUGACAACUCUUCUCUUCUUCUUCCCCAGACGCCCGCGAUCGCAAUCCGCCGCCGCAGCCCGGCACCAGACGCCAUCUCUGGGCGUCAAGGUCAAGCGACUCUCACCCCCACUCCCAGUGCGUUCCCCUUCCCCGUCCACUCUCACCUUCCAGCCCUAGCUAGAGGCUAGUGCCUAGACCGGUGUACCUUGGGAGACGAGUGCCAGGUGCGGCGGCCGGCGGGAUCUAGUCAUCCGGGACGUCUGCACUUCGCCACAGCAGCAGGCAUCCCGUAAGCCGACAGGGCCGCAGGGCGCCGCACCAGAGGCUCAGCCGCGCAAGGCACCGAGCAGCCGAGCAACAAGUAGUCAGGCAGCCUGUGGGCAGCGGCAGACGGCAGCAAGGCUGGAAAUCACGAAGUACCUAUAGGUAUAUAAGUUCAGUUCUCCAUUAUCUGUAAUUUUCCCCACUUGAGGUGCAUUGUAGAUUCUCAGCAAUUGAUUAGUGAUUUAAUGGCAGAUUGUAAUCAACUCAACGUGACGAGAAGAACAUUUUUGUGCUCACAAUUUUUUUUAGUUCAAGCAAUGUAAAUAUUGGUGGUACUUCCCUGAGUGCAUAUCAAUGCUCUAUGAAUGUAAAAUUUGAUCUUCAAUUGUUUAUUGGCCCUAUAAAAUCGUACAAAGUUUCUCCAAUAUACCUAUUGAUCCAUUAAAAUUGUCUCAUAACUUCUGUUUACGGAUUUUGGGACUGCACAACUGAUGGAUUCCGAGAGAUGUAACAGACUUACAGUAGGGAUGCUAGGCCAAAGAGUUAAAAUAUAUUUACAUGGUAGUAUAUUUCGUAACUGUAGUAGUUUCAACAUUAUAUAGAUUAAUCAUGAACUUUUAGUUGUAUUAAACAAAUAAGAUGCAUAUGUUCAUUGUUGUAACUAAGUUCGUUAUGAAUUUGUGAAGGUAUAUAUUUGUAUAUGAAACAGCUUUGGACUAGCAAAUUUUAUGUAUGUGAUAUGUUUGUGUCUUCCUUAGAGCUCAGCCCUGCCUACUAUUUUAGUCUGAGUCUGCCCCUGAUCAAGAUUCAAGUAUGGCUUCUGCCGGGUUGGCUGGGAUGAGCGGUGCGGCUCGUCCUCUCAUGAGGCUCGUCACCAUGAGCGGUGUGCCAAUCCUCCAGCAGCUGCACCUGGAGGAGGAGCUCCUGCGCUGCACUUCAGACAACUGGUGCAUCAUCAACAAUGGCACGACCCCUGCUACCAUCGUCAUGGGCGUGUCUGGGUAUAAACUAAACUCCUCUCAGAUUUUGUCAGGAAGGAUGAUUCAGUCAUGCAUUGUCCCCUUUGUAGCCCAUGUUGAGCUGCUAAUUUGGUUGUGCGAUGGCAGGAGAGUCUCAGAGCUUGUAAAGAUACAGCCUGCCCUCCGGGACCAGGUGCCGGUCGUGAGGAGGUUCAGUGGAGGUGGCACCGUCAUUGUUGAUCAGGGAACGGUGUUUGUGACUUUCAUUUGCAACAAGAAUGCCAUUGCCGGGCUGCAGCCCUUUCCACGGGACAUCAUGUCAUGGAGUGGUCAGCUAUAUGGCAAAGUUUUUGACAGAUUUGGUGAAUUUCAUCUACGUGAGAAUGGUAUGGAAAAUCAGCACCAAUUUUAUCAUUUGCCAGCUUAAUAUUCUAUUUCUUACAGUGAGCGAAAAUUCCAUGUUCAAAUGCAUUGUAUCCCAGUAUAUCCUUUAAGGAUAGAAAAUUAUGGCUUUUGUUCUUACAUUUAAGUGGACAUAGUUUACUAUCCUUCGUUGAACAUAAUCUAUUUCUAGAUAACAAAAUUUGAAUUUACAUUCGUCGAUGAUUACCUUGUCACCAGCUUGUAUCCAAAUAUGUUGGGAAACUGUUUCUCAGUGCUGAGGAUGCAAUGCUGUCCAAGUGAUUAACUUAUUAUGCAUUUGUUGUUUCAGACUAUGCAUUUAGUCAUCGAAAAUUCGGUGGAAAUGCUCAAUCAAUAACAAAAAAUCGUUGGGUUCAUCACACAUCGUUCUUGUGGGAUUAUGAUGUGAAAAAUAUGGAUUAUCUCAAAAUCCCAAAGCGUGCACCGGAAUAUCGACUGGUAUGAUCCUAUCUGUUUGUCUUGAUCUGAUUUUCAGCAUCCUUUGUGCACAGGCAUUGAGAAUGAUGUUUAGAAUGAACUUCUCCAAUGAGAUUAUCAAAUUUGAGCAUCUUUAAUUUUGAUAUAUGUUACUCAGAGUUAAUCAGGCAGGAAACUGUACAUCAGUAGUGUGCUAUCAUAAUCGCUGGUGCCUGAGCAAUUGAUCUGUAAAACACUGAACACCCUUUACGAGUCUCUUAGUUUUUGCCAGAUUGUGUCACAAUGUUUUCCUAACUACUCGGUCAACUUUUGCCCCUUAUUGGUGUGAACUAUCAAUAAUUGUUGUGACCCUUGAUCUGGUAAGGUCCAAGAACUGGUUGAAGUUGGUUAAUCAUGGCUUACUUUAUCAGAAUUAGUGAUUACUGCAUGUAUAUAUUAUGUAAGAAAAGGUUUUAACAGUGAUUGCCAGACCAAAGAGUUGAGCAGCAGUAAUACUGAAGCCUGGAGAGUUAAAUGGGUUUUACUGUAAGUGCUUUAGUAUACUGAAACCUGAAAAGUUAGAUGGGUUUUACUGUAAGUGCUUUAUUUUGUACUUGAAUGAUAUCCUAGAGGAGAUGAAAAGUGCUGGGUAGAAAUAAACCAGUUUAGUUUUUGAUCAAUUAUUGGAUGCAAGGAUCUGGCAUUGCACAAAAUAGUGCAAUGAUGACCAGUGGUGUCAGACAGCAGCUUGGCCAUGCUAGUUGAUUUGUGGUGGAACUUCGACUGUGGAAGUAUUGCCUAGUAAUGGCAUGGAUUGCCAAAACUCAGUGCAAUCAUUGACCCACUUUACACAAGAACGAGCUGUAACUGAAUAAUCAUUGAGUUUGUGAUGUGAAGGAUUGAAGGUAGAGUGCGAAGUUUUUAGUGGCAAACUGUUGCACUUGGGCUUAGACCAGAGUUGAGGACUAUUGUUGUUAUAUCAUAUAACUUUCAUUGAUAUGUCCGAAGAGUUUAGAGCUGUCGUUUGGAACUUUCUGGGUACAUAUAAACAAUGAUUGAGAUGUUGAGAACCAGCCAGUAAUGCUGCAAAUGAUAUUGGUUUUCACCACGCGCUCUUAGGUCUUAACUAUCUUGAUUCUUGAUCCAGUUUUUGCAUGGAAAUGGUUCCAUGGAAUAUGGUUGGGAAUGGGCCCAAAUCUUUAUAUAUAGAAACAUUUGGGGUGUUUGGUUUGUAGAAUGAAGUGGUCCAUCAUCAUCUCACUCUCUGGUUUUUUCUUUAGUUUGUGGAAUAGAAUGAGUUUACCCAUUACCAUGAACUAAUAAUUAGUACUAGCAUGAGGAGUGAGGUCAUUCCACUGAAUUUGAGGAAUAGACUAGUGAUGCAUCACAUCAUAGUAUGGAUUGAUUCCACAAAAGCAAACACUCCAUUAAUGCAUGGUUUUUCAUUUGUACUCAAAAUACCUUCAGCUUUGGAAAUCUUGCAGUUGAAAUGUACUUAUUUCUGUGACAGUACCACCCAUGUUCCUGGUUGUGUAUGUUUUACACUUGAAUUGAGCCUAUUUCAGAUAUAUGGUAUCACUCAUUUUUUACAGUUGAGAUUCACGAAAGGUGAGUGUCAACUCAAAAUGUUCACCAUUAAUGUGGAUUUCUCAUUUUCUUUCCAGGCAAGAAACCACACAGAUUUCUUGUGCCGCAUGAAGGAGUAUAUACCUUCACGUUCAGUUUUCACCGAUGGGGUCAUUGCGGCCCUGGGAGAACACUUCUCAGUUCAGCCCAUGGAUCUACAAGCAGUUCCUUCCGGUGAUGAAGAAUUUGUGCCUUCUACAAAGCUGCUGUCACAACAAGACCUAGAGGAAAUUGUUUCCUCCAAAGAAUCCCCUAGAGUACAGAAAGUCGAAGCAUGACCAUGAUUGUCGUUUUUUGUUGUGAAAUCUGAGCAAUUAUCUGCGCUGUGGAUUCAUUCAACUUCGAGUCCGACAUUAUGGUCACUGAACCACUGACAUUGUUUUUUCGAAACCCAGUACAUAUGAAGAUCCUCACACGCAUGUGCGUCAUAUUCCUAUGAGCAUCUCUAAGAGACAGCUGGAUUCACGAAUUUCAAAAUUGAUAUAAGUCUUGUAGGCUUUGCUAUUGAUAGACACUGAAAAAUUAAUUAAAUUCUGGAAUAAAUACAAGAAAAUACAACCGUUCAUACUAAGCCAAAGACUUAAACACAGAUAAAUAGAUUUCACCAAAAAAAGCCUUACUAAUUGAGCUACACUCAGUUUGCAACCGCUGACGUCUUACUACUUUAUCAUAACAAUUUUGUGCAUUUAUAUACUGUUACAUUGGAAAUAAUGUUGGAAGAAUAAAUCAGGAAAAUAUGUAUCCAUUUCUAUUCUUGAAUAUCCAUUGGUCGUACUCUCUUUGGUCAUAAAUAGUAAUGUUUCGGAUUGUAUUAACUAGCAUAUACAAAUAACUGUCGGUGUUGGUGUGCUUGCCAUAAAUUUGACUCGAUUUGUAGAAAAUACGUGCAGCAAUUGUAUCUCUAAAUAAAUUUAUUAAUAAACUAGAUUGAAGGAUCUUUCCAUUGACAAUAAUUAUAUACCGUAAAUAUUAAUACUUUCUUGAUAUAUAUUUAGUCAAAGUUGUUUCUUAAGAAACCACAAACGACCGAUAUUUAGGGACGGAUGGAGUAUACCUAUACAUUCGAGCGUAAUCUAUAGCGUGACUCUUUUUUUUGUGAACAUAGCUUGACUCAUCUAUUCCAACACAAUUUUUAGUUGAAUUUUGUAUCGUGGCGCCAACGUGCGACUCUAAAUUAUUGGUACGGGUUAUGAGUUUGGGUCACUGAUGAGACAAUAAAUGUAUUAUAAGAGCAACUCUAACAAUUUGACUAUUUUUGUUGUCGAGACUAUUUUAGAAUUUGUACAGUAAAACGUAGGCUCCAACGGAUAUGUUAUCUAGUUUUGUAAAAUAAAAAAUUGGCUACCAUUAAUUUUCGGUGGCCAUAUAUAGCCAACCACUGACACUAGCUAUCUGAUUUUGUAAAAUAGCAAGACUAUUGUAGACCUCUUCUUUUUUAAGAAGUUCUCUAUUUUACAAAAUGACAAAAUAAUAGAAUUUGAAUACUAACUUUAGCCAACUAUUAGAGUUAUUCUAACUCUUGCAUAAUUCCCGUAAAGUUCAUGCGUUUCAAACUUGCUCCUAGCGAGCCCGUUCUUUUUUUUAUCAGCCGCCAAUAGUAUUUCUCUCUCUCAAUAAAUCAGCCAAAAAUAAUUUCGGCUAUGAUUUUUCAGACCAGUGAAUAGGCUUCGGGUGAGCAUGCAUAUUGGUCCCGUUGGUUCGUUAAAGUAAAAAUAAAAAAAAAUGCACAGGCGGCUGCCUGGCUAGAAACGUGCUGCCGUUGAGCUUGAAUGAACCAUAUACUACGCAUCAUCAGGCCUGUCCGGUUCCGAUUGCGGCCCCGCCUUCUCUGGUACUAUUUUUAACCGCGGCACCGCUCCGGAGUCCGGACAGUGGGGGAGGUACACCGGGCGUUCCCAUGGGCCGUGGCGCCCCCCGUGUGUUCCAUGCAUGACGCUGGCACAGGAACGCGGCGGUGGUCCGUGGGUGACGGACACGCGCGCGUCACGCACGAACGCGGCUACAGUGGGCGUCUGUGCGGGGCCGCGUAGUACGUAUGCACUGCAUGGCACGAUAUAUACCGGCGGGCGAGCACGCAGACCAGCUCACCGGCCACCGGUGGUGGUCGACACUGGUACGGCCAGGCGACGCAGGCAGCGCCGUGGCAUCACGCCGAUCCUUUCCCGGUUCCGGCCGCUCACCGGCCUGUCCGACAGGGACGCACGGGCACUCUCGAACCGCGAGCGGGGGGAGCAAAGCAACUAGUGGAGUGGUGGACCCACCCUUGAACAAGAGAACUGCAUGGAUGAACAGGGCCACGUACGUCGCAGAGGAUCCCGGCCGACCGGGUGCUGCGGCCGUUCGGGGCCCGCGGCGCGCGCCCGUCACGUCCGCCUCGCCCUCGGCAGACUCGGGUCCCGGCCACGAAGCUAUAACCACCCCGGCCCUCAGCUCGCGCGCGGCGCGACGUACGUAUUCAUGCGCGACGUCCGCGCACGUGCUAAUGAGGACGUAGCGCGCCGCAAACGCCGGCAUGCAUGCCAAUGCCACGCCAUCCAUCAUUCUCAUGGACCCGGCUGGAUGGGAUUGGCACCCGCAGCCGAGCCGAAGCCACACCACACCACACCCACGCGCGCA